rnacentral:rRNA from 1 species
AUUGAACGCUGGCGGCAGGCCUAACACAUGCAAGUCGAGCGGUAGCAGUCCUUCGGGAGGCUGACGAGCGGCGGACGGGUGAGGAAUGCUUGGGAAUCUGCCCGAUAGAGGGGGAGUAACUACGGGAAACUGUAGCUAAUACCGCAUGAUCUCUUAGGAGCAAAGCGGGGGACCUUCGGGCCUCGCGCUAUCGGAUGAGCCCAAGUGGGAUUAGCUAGUUGGUAGGGUAAAGGACCUACCAAGGACGGACGAUCUCUAACUGGUCUGAGAGGACGACCAGCCACACUGGGACUGAGACACGGCCCAGACUCCUACGGGAGGCAGCAGU